CCAAAACUUAGCCUUGUUCACGGAUCAAUGAAAUGAGGUCGAGAUCGAGGUCGAGUGAAAACUGUAUGACGGGCAUGAGGACCUUGCAAGGUACCCACAUACCAAAUAUAGCUAUCCUACUACUUAUAAUAAGAGAGACUUUAAUAUUACAAAAGAUCUUACUUUUUUUUCAAGUAGUCACUGAACCAUGAAAAUGGGGUCAAGGACAUUGAACAUGUGACUGACGGAUCCCUAUGUCGAGCUUUCUGCAUCUAAAGUUGCAGGCUCAACGAAAACAGACCAAUAUUUGUUGAAAAACAUACAAUCUUCAGUUUUCAGCUUAUAUAUCUAGAAAUGUAACAAAGUUUUUUGUAUAAAUUUGAAGGCGACUCGAAAAAAAAAGUGUGCUGUUAUUUUGCAAAUUUUUAAAUACUCUUUAAUGUUUGCACCCCUUAUUAGCCAAUUUGUUACAAAUUUAACACACAAGCAUUUGAAUAUUAUUACCUCCAAGAAGGAAUAUAUACAUAAAGAAGGAUCACUCAAUCUUAAUUUCAGAAUUGCCAAACAGCUCUUAGUCUCCAGCUAUUUCAAGCUGUAAUUUUGCCUAUGAAUAU
rnacentral:lncRNA from 1 species